UACGUAGGGCGCAAGCGUUGUCCGGAAUUAUUGGGCGUAAAGAGCUCGUAGGCGGUUUGUCGCGUCUGUCGUGAAAGCUUGGGGCUUAACCCCAAGUCUGCGGUGGAUACGGGCAGACUAGAGGCAGGUAGGGGAGAACGGAAUUCCCGGUGUAGCGGUGAAAUGCGCAGAUAUCAGGAGGAACACCGGUGGCGAAGGCGGGUCUCUGGGCCGAUACUGACGCUGAGGAGCGAAAGCGUGGGGAGCGAACAGG
rnacentral:rRNA from 1 species